UACGUAGGUGGCAAGCGUUGUCCGGAUUUACUGGGCGUAAAGCGCCCGCAGGCGGCUUGUUAAGUUCAAGGUGAAAUCUCCCGGCUUAACUGGGAGGGUGCCUCGAAAACUGGCAGGCUUGAGGUGAGGAGAGGGAUGCGGAAUUCCAGGUGUAGCGGUGAAAUGCGUAGAGAUCGGGAGGAAGGCCGGUGGCGAAGGCGGCGCUCUGGAACGGCCCUGACACUGAGGCUCGAAAGCGUGGGGAGCAAACAGG
rnacentral:rRNA from 1 species